rnacentral:tRNA from 1 species
GAGGGAUUAGUUAAAAAAUAACAUUAGCAUGUCAAACUAAAGUUGUCUCACCCCGGGCACCCCUCU